rnacentral:rRNA from 1 species
ACGGGAGGCAGCAGUGGGGAAUAUUGCACAAUGGGGGAAACCCUGAUGCAGCGAUGCCGCGUGGAGGAAGAAGGUUUUCGGAUUGUAAACUCCUGUCUUAAAGGACGAUAAUGACGGUACUUUAGGAGGAAGCUCCGGCUAACUACGUGCCAGCAGCCGCGGUAAUACGUAGGGAGCGAGCGUUGUCCGGAAUUACUGGGUGUAAAGGGUGUGUAGGCGGAGAAGCAAGUCAGGCGUGAAAUUUCCGGGCUCAACCCGGAAACUGCGCUUGAAACUGUUUCCCUUGAGAGUGGGAGAGGUAAACGGAAUUCCUGGUGUAGUAGUGAAAUGCGUAGAUAUCAGGAGGAACACCGGUGGCGAAGGCGGUUUACUGGACCACAACUGACGCUGAGACACGAAAGCGUGGGGAGCAAACAGGAUUAGAUACCCUGGUA